UUGCUUUGGCAGGACAUGCAGCACAUUUGCUAAAACUGGAACCAAAGAUUAGCAUGGCUCCUGUACAAGAGGACAUGCAAAUUUGUGAAGCGUUCCAUAUUUAA